UCCCAAGCAAGAGAGAUUCCAAAGUG
rnacentral:piRNA from 1 species